rnacentral:rRNA from 1 species
GACGAACGCUUUCCUCGUGCCUCCUCCCUGCACGUUGAGCGCUGAAGCUUGGUGCUUGCACCAAUUUGAAGAGCAGCGAACGGGUGAGUAACGCGUGGGGAAUCUGCCUUUGAGCGGGGGACAACAUUUGGAAACGAAUGCUAAUACCGCAUAACAACUUUAAACAUAAGUUUUAAGUUUGAAAGAUGCAAUUGCAUCACUCAAAGAUGAUCCCGCGUUGUAUUAGCUAGUUGGUGAGGUAAAGGCGCACCAAAGCGAUGAUACAUAGCCGACCUGAGAGGGUGAGCGGCCACAUUGGGACUGAGACACGGCCCAAACUACUACGGGAGGCAGCAGGAGGGAAUCUUCGGCAAUGGACGAAAGUCUGACCGAGCAACGCCGCGUGAGUGAAGAAGGUUUUCGGAUCGGAAAACUCUGUUGGUAGAGAAGAACGUUGGUGGGAGUGGAAAGCUCAUCAAGUGACGGUAACUACCCAGAAAGGGACGGCUAACUACGUG